rnacentral:lncRNA from 10 species
CGCGUAGGACAAGGCAGGAGGAGGGCGGCCCUUAUCGGUUCCCUAUAGGACUGGCUUCGCUGCCGGGGUCGGAGAUUCCUCGGCGCGGAGCUAGGGGCGGGUCCGGAGGCGGAGGCGACAGCGCCCGGCGGGGUACGCGCGGCUGCGACCCCGUCACUCCCCCGCCGCCUCCGCCCCUAACCCUCGGCCCCGUGCGCGAGCGAGCGAGGGAGCGAACGCAGCGCAACAAAACAAACUAGUGCCGGCUUCCUGUUGUGCAACUCGCUCCUGAGUGAGUCGGGGGCCGAAAGGGUGCUGCGGCUGGGAAGCCCGGGCGCCGGGGACCUGCGCGCGCUGCCCGGCCUGGCCGGAGCCUGUAGCCCGGGGGCGCCACGGCCGGGCUCGCAGUCCCCCCACGCCGGCCCCCCGGUCCCCGCCGAGCCAGUGUCCUCACCCUGUGGUUUCCUUUCGCUUCUCGCCUCCCAAACACCUCCAGCAAGUCGGAGGGCGCGAACGCGGAGCCAGAAACCCUUCCCCAAAGUUUCUCCCGCCAGGUACCUAAUUGAAUCAUCCAUAGGAUGACAAAUCAGCCAGGGCCAAGAUUUCCAGACACUUGAGUGACUUCCCGGUCCCCGAGGUGACUUGUCAGCUCCAGUGAGUAACUUGGAACUGUCGCUCGGGGCAAGGUGUGUGUCUAGGAGAGAGCCGGCGGCUCACUCACGCUUUCCAGAGAGCGACCCGGGCCGACUUCAAAAUACACACAGGGUCAUUUAUAGGGACUGGAGCCGCGCGCAGGACAACGUCUCCGAGACUGAGACAUUUUCCAAACAGUGCUGACAUUUUGUCGGGCCCCAUAAAAAAUGUAAACGCGAGGUGACGAACCCGGCGGGGAGGGUUCGUGUCUGGCUGUGUCUGCGUCCUGGCGGCGUGGGAGGUUAUAGUUCCAGACCUGGCGGCUGCGGAUCGCCGGGCCGGUACCCGCGAGGAGUGUAGGUACCCUCAGCCCGACCACCUCCCGCAAUCAUGGGGACACCGGCUUGGAUGAGACACAGGCGUGGAAAACAGCCUUCGUGAAACUCCACAAACACGUGGAACUUGAAAAGACAACUACAGCCCCGCGUGUGCGCGAGAGACCUCACGUCACCCCAUCAGUUCCCACUUCGCCAAAGUUUCCCUUCAGUGGGGACUCCAGAGUGGUGCGCCCCAUGCCCGUGCGUCCUGUAACGUGCCCUGAUUGUGUACCCCUCUGCCCGCUCUACUUGAAAUGAAAACACAAAAACUGUUCCGAAUUAGCGCAACUUUAAAGCCCCGUUAUCUGUCUUCUACACUGGGCGCUCUUAGGCCACUGACAGAAACAUGGUUUGAACCCUAAUUGUUGCUAUCAGUCUCAGUCAGCGCAGGUCUCUCAGUGACCUGUGACGCCGGGAGUUGAGGUGCGCGUAUCCUUAAACCCGCGCGAACGCCACCGGCUCAGCGUAGAAAACUAUUUGUAAUCCCUAGUUUGCGUCUCUGAGCUUUAACUCCCCCACACUCUCAAGCGCCCGGUUUCUCCUCGUCUCUCGCCUGCGAGCAAAGUUCCUAUGGCAUCCACUUACCAGGAAGAAAAUUCAAAGACUUUAUGCAAUGCUUAGAAUAAGGAGGAGAGCCUGUCUGCGCCCUGCUCCAGUGACCCUCUCCUGUCUGACACCCACUACUAAACCAGGCAGGUGGUAUGUUGGAAGAAGAGUGGACUUUGGAAUCAGAAAACCUGGAAUCCCAACUUCACCGCUAACCGAGAGACCUUGAGCUGGUUCCUAAACCACGGGGAACUUCAGUUCCACUACAUGAGUUAUUGCAAAGGUUGAAUCGGAAUUGUGACACUGGCCAGCACACGUGUGAAACCAGGGGCAUCCCCUAUUGAUAAGGAGCCCAGCCCAAGAGCUUCAAGGGAAAUUGACCCCAGCCCCAGCUCCACUGAUGGGCUCGAUGAUUCAGAGAGGAAUCUCACUCCCUUGGUCAAAGUGAAUGGCUCAUAAAUCUGGGCCUAAGUCAAUCCGUGCAAGACAUUCCCCUGGCCAUAGGGAUUGGUUAAAAAAUGGACAUGUAACCCAGUUUGGGCUAAAUGAGAUGUGAACAGGAAAGUUAUUUGAUAGCUUCUGAGGAAGGUAGCUUCUCUUCUUUCUAGAGAGCCACUGGAAAGGUAGCCUUUUCUCCUCUGUGUUGUGGAGAGAAAAAAAAAGUGAAACUGUCUCCCUCUCAGCCCACACAGAAGGCUCACACUUGGUGAAGGGAAGGGUGGAGAAGAUUACAGAGAAUAGCCCUGAUGGAACCACACCUGAUUUCUACCUGACCUCUUAAUUUUUUCAUUUGUACAAGUCAGUAAAUGCCUUUUAAUUUUUAAACAAAUAAUUACAGCAACUUAUAGAGGUACCUAAGGUAUUAAGUUACCAUCAUGAAUACAAAGAUAAGCAAGACAAACUUCAAGGGGCUCACCACCUAAUAAAUAUUAUACUUUGCUUUUAUGACAUCAUUUUAGUCUUUUUUGUUGUUUUUUGUUUUUGUUUCUAAAUAGGAUCUUGCUUUAUCACCCAAACUGUAAUGCAGUGGUGUGAUCAUAGCUCACUACAGCCCCGACCUCCUGGGCUCAAGUGAUCCUCUUGCCUCAGCCUCCUAAGGAGCUGGGACUACAGGUGCGUGCCCAGCUAAUUUCUUUUAUUUUUGUAGAGGCAGGGGGGUCUCGCUAUGUUGCCCAGGCUGUGGGUUUUUCAGGGUAAAGUUAUGGCUCAUUCUCUCUUCAGGACCCUGCUACCAUUUGGUCAAUUUAAUAUUAUGCAAGAGAAAUUCCAUUUCCCUAGUAGUUACACAAUGCCCGCUUUCAGACCAGCUAGUCAACCCUGUGAGGGUCAGAUAGAGUAGUUUAUCCAUUUGGUUGUCAGACAACUGCCUCGAACAGCCAGGCCAUUUCUACAUGUUCUCAGUUACUGGUUAACAAAUGUUGCCCCAGAAUUCAGCACCUAAUAGGAAAUACAUUCAUUUCCAAAUUCCUACUGAAAUAGGAUUUUUCUCAUUCCUAGAUAAAACAGAGGCACCCAGAUUUUCCUGGAAUGGCAUUCAGAAAUAGAGAAGGAAUCAUAGAGAAAUGUCUGCCCAGGCAUCUCUGAGUCUCAUGCCUUUUUGCUGUUGCUGCUGUUAUGACUCCUACCUUGGAAAGUUUCAGUCAUCCUUGAACAUCCUCCCCACCCCCAUGCUUUCCUGUCUUCUGUUUCAUAACUAAAUGCCAUUUAAAACUCUAGCUAUAGAUACCCCUUGCUGAUAUAAGCAACAGAAGUAGAGAGUCCUUAGAUUCUAGACUGAAUUUAGGGCCCAACAGUUAGACAAUUGGAACUUGAUAAUAACGUUAUCUCAGCAGAUUGCGUAAGUCAGAAAUGUUCUCCCUGUCACUGCUUUCUUUUUCCUUCCAGCAAGAAGUGGACAUUAAGGAGAAAGUGAAGGUGGCAAGUUAUGAGUGAUCUGUUUAAGACACAGUUUAGUUAUGGCAAUGAUAACAACUCACAUUUAUUAGGGGCUUAUUAUGUAUCAGGCUGAGCAAAGUACGUAAGAUUCUUGAUCUCAUUUAAUUCUCACAGUGUAGAGGCUAAUGAGUGGUGGAGGUGAGAGGAGGACGCAGCCUCCCUUGGCUCCAGGGCACACACUCUUAGCUGUAACACUCUAUUGCCUCCAUAAAGUAUGCUUAAU